rnacentral:rRNA from 1 species
GCGUGGAGCAUGUGGCUUAAUUUGACUCAACGCGGGAAAUCUUACCGGGUCCGGACACACUGAGGAUUGACAGGCAAUAUAUGUGACUCUUCGGAGUUUGCAUUGUUAAAUAUGCUAGUCCUUUCAUGAUUAUGUGAUAGGUGGUGCAUGGCCGUUCUUAGUUCGUGGAGUGAUCUGUCUGCUUAAUUGCGUUUCAAAUUACUUAUAAGGUAGCAAUACGCGAUGAAGCUUUCAAUAGUCCUCACGGAUUCACUUGAGUCUCUCGCUUCGCUAUCCUUUCNAAUGCAACGAACGUGACCGCAACCUCUUGUUGCCUUCGUUUAACAUCCUGCAGCUCGCUGUGGGUACUGAGGGCUUCACUCGGUGACUUUGGGCUGAGCAAUCGGUCUCUUUUGAUCUGAGNAAACUAGAGGGACCGCUGUCAACUUCUUA